rnacentral:rRNA from 1 species
AACGAACGCUGGCGGCAGGCUUAACACAUGCAAGUCGAACGCCCCGCAAGGGGAGUGGCAGACGGGUGAGUAACGCGUGGGAAUCUACCCAGUUCUACGGAACAACACAGGGAAACUUGUGCUAAUACCGUAUACGCCCUACGGGGGAAAGAUUUAUCGGAAUUGGAUGAGCCCGCGUAAGAUUAGCUAGUUGGUGGGGU